rnacentral:rRNA from 1 species
GAUGAACGCUGGCGGCGUGCCUAAUACAUGCAAGUCGAGCGAACAUACGAGGAGCUUGCUCCUCGGACGUUAGCGGCGUACGGGUGAUUAACACGUGGAUAACCUACCUAUAAGACUGGGAUAACUUCGGGAAACCUGAGCUAAUACCGGAUAAUAUAUUUAACCGCAGGGUUCAAUAGUGAAAGACAGUUUUGCUUUCACUUAUAGAGGUAGCCGCGCCGCAUUAGCAAGUUGGUAAGGUAGCUACUUAGCAAGGCAACGUAGCGGAGCCGACCGGAGAGGGUGAUCGGCCAGCCUGGGAGUGAGACAGGGUACAGACUCCUAGGGGAGGCAGCAGUAGGGAAACUGGAGCAAGGGGCGAAAGACUGACGGAGAAACGCCGAGUGAGUGAUGCAGCUAUUCGGAGCGUAAAACUCUGUUAUUCGGGAAGAAAAGAUGUGUAAGUAACGAUGAAAGUAUUGACGGUACCUACACAGAAAGCCACGGCUAAAUACGUG